rnacentral:lncRNA from 1 species
AUGAGAAUGGCAAGGGGGACAUCUGCCCCCUGAUUCAAUCGUCUCUCACCAGGCCUCUCUUCCAAUAUUCGGGAUUACAAUUCAACAUGAGAUUGGGGUAGGGACACAGACCCAAACUAUAUCACCUUCUCUGUGGUAGGUUAUAUUGUUUUAUAUUUUUAUUUUUUUGAGACAAGGUCUUGCUUCAUCGCCAGGCUGCAGUGCAGUGGCAUGAUCAUGGGUCACUGUAGCCUUGACUUCCUGAGGCUCAAAUGAUCCUCUUAUCCUCUUAUCUCAGUCUCCCAAGAAGCAUGCCACCAUGCAUAGCACAUUAAAAAAUUUUUCUUGUAGAGAGAGGUCUCCUUAUGUUGCCCAGGCUGAUCUUGAACUCCUGGGAUCAAGUGAUUCUCCUGCCUCAUCCUCCCAAAGUGCUAAGAUUUUAGACAUGAGCCACCCCACCCAGUGAUUAUAUUGUUUUAUUUAUUUAUUUAUUUAUUGAGACAGAAUCUUGCUCUGUUGCCCAGACUGGAGUGCAGUGGUGUGAUCUCGGCUCACAGCGACCUCCACCUCCCAGGUUCAAGUGAUACGCCUGCCUUCUGCUGCUGAAUAGCUGGGACUACAGGCGCCCACCAUCACGCCCAUCUAACUUUUGUAUUUUUAGUAGAGAUGGGGUUUUUCGCCUUGUUGGCCAGGCUGCUCUCAAACUCCUGACCUCAAGUGUUCUCCCCACCUUGGCCUCUCAAAGUGCUGGGAUUACAGGGGUGAGCCACCACGCCCAGCUUAUAUUGUGUUGAAAAUGUUUUCUUCUCUCCCACUGGUCCUUUCCUUAGACAGAGUUUCGCUGUUGUCGCCCAGCCUGGAGUGCAAUGGUGCAAUCUCGGCUCGCUGCAACCUCCACCUCCUGGAUUCAAGCCAUUCUUCUGCCUGAGCCUCCCAAGUAACUGGGAUUACAGGCACACGCCACAACGCCUGGCUAAUUUUCUUUGUAUUUUUAGAUGGGGUUUCACUGUGUUGGUCAGGCUGGUCUCGAACUCCUGACCUCAGGUGAUCUGCCCGCCUCGGCCUCCCAAAGUGCUGGGAUGACAGGCGUGAGCCACCGUGCCCGGCCAACUCUGUUUUGUUUUUUUUUUUUUUUUGAGAAGGAGUCUCGUUCUGUCGCCCAUGCUGGAGUGCAGUGGCGAGAUCUCAGUUCACUGCAACCUCCGCCUCCAGGGUUCAAUUGAUUCUCAUGCCUCAGCCUCCUGAGUAGCUGGGAUUACAGGCACAUGCCACCAUGCCUGGCUAAUUUUGUAUGUAUAUGUGUGUGUAUAUAUAUAUAUAUACACAUAUACCUGUAUAUUCAGUAGACACGGGGUUUUACUAUAUUGGCCAGGCUAGUCUUGAACUCCUGACCUCAACUGAUAUGCCGGCCUCGGCCUCCCAAAAUGCUGGGAUUACAGACAUGAGCCACUGCUUCCAGCCUAACUCUGUUUUAUACCAAAGGUCUCACUGGGCUCCAGUAACUACUUCCUCCAUUUCCACUCUCAGGGAUGGGGUGGCAAUGGAGCCCCACUGUUAUGGGCUUCCAGGAUUUCCCUUAAUGCUGCCCUCAACUUUGUAAAUAGUCCUAUCAUUAAACUCUC